GGUUGUCUUUAAGAGGCAGUAAGAAAAGUAUCAGCGUCAUUAUUUGCUGUUUCAUACCCCUGUGACAGUACUCACAGUCUGUGAUGGGUGACAGAGGAAGCGGGGCAAAGGGGAAUGGUUAUGAUUUCAUUUCCACAGGCAGGUGACUGGUGGGCAUAUAGUAAUAUUGCUAAGGGCCUGUGCUUUGGCUUAAGGUUAGUUUCUGUUUUCAUGCUUGCUUCUCCGACUUGACUCCCUGUUUGAGGCGAAGGAAAAACAUUCAUGUCAUCUGCAUCAUCUGCAUCCUGUUGGCAUAACAUUGUGCAUUGAAGGAUUAAUCAACAUAACAGUUUUUUUCAUUUUUUUCAGCCUACUUCAUGCUUUGAACAGAAGAGUUUUAUCAGUUUUAAAUGUUUCUUCAUUUCUAUACCUUCUUUUAUCUGAGGAGCUUAAGCCAUUUUGUAGAGGCAUUAAGUAUUGCCUCAGUCUUAAUAUGUGAGACAAGGUGUGAGGAAUAUAGAGAUUCAUAAAAUAAUCCCCAUCUUCAAGGAACUCACAGUCAGGAAGAACAGAGCCUGCAACACAAAUAAUUGCAAUAUAGUAGAAGUGCCAAUAGGAGCUCUAUGAAGGGCGUGAAACAGGAAAGGCUACAUAGAGGAGAUGGCAGCCUCUCUUUAUCCCAGACUCCUCCCCUGCAAUCUCCCUCUUAGAGACCGCCUCUCUGCCCUCUCAACCCAGAGCUAGGCAUGUGACUAAAGCUUGGCUAAUCAAAGCAUCCAGUGCCUUUGACCACAGUAAGAGCUGGAAGACUGAGCACAUGGCCUCUUCAGAGCCACAGAGAUGGAAGAGAAUUUUUUGCUGAAACUUCUGGGAAAGAAAUUAACUUUCCUGCUGGACUUUAUUCAUGGGAAUAUGCUUCAGCCAUAUUCCAAGGGAGAUCAGGACAAACAUGACACUCUGUGGAUUGUGACCUGUUGGUGGGCCAUGAAAUCAAUUUGGGGGUUUGAGAGCAUCAUUCUUUUAAUAAAACAGAAGAGAAUCAUCUGCAAUAAGGAACCCAUGGAUGAAUACCAUCUGGUCCUGGUGAUUUACUGCACAGAGUCCCUCAAGUUGCUCCAUACCUUUCUCCUGAGAGACUGAAGAAUCUCUGUCAAGGCCGUUCUCUGCUUUGCCAUAAAAUGUGUCCUUGGAACAAGAAUUUCCCCAUUGUCUUCUUCAAUAAAUACUGAUUCAAA
rnacentral:lncRNA from 1 species